UUAGUACUUACGCCACUGUUAUGAUUUUUUAUUUCAUGAAAAUAGGCACGAGAUGAAUGUUUUUACCUAAAUAUUUUUGAGAAAUUUCUCUAGAUUUCACAAAAAAAAUAAAAAAUUAGAUUUAUUUUUUAAAAUGCCAAAAUUAACAUUAUAACUUCGCCACUGGUAGGUACAGCACCCAUACCUAUAUACGCUUUCAUUCGUCUAUCUUCACAUUCUUUUGCAAAUAGCGUUGUUUUCAAGAUAUUGACAAAAAACUAAAAAAAAGUCCGAUUUUCAUCCCUUUCUAGGAUUGUUUGGAGGUGACAGACACGGCUGUUCACUUAUGGGCUUGUUCACGGUUAGACUGGGUCGACUCUGACGCUUUAUGGUGUAAUCGGGGUUGGAAACUAAUGGAAAGUUUCCACAAUUUUUAACAUAAAAAGAGAGAUGUAUGACAGAUUCCCACAUCAAAUUUAAAAACAAUUAAUUUCUCUACAAAAUGAUAUUUACCUCGAGGGACAACGUAGAGAUGUUUAGGCAGUUAAUAUACGGAGUCCUGAUGCCUCUUAAAAAAAAUGAAUUGAAUUGCAAAUGCAAGAUUAACAAAAUAAAUUCAAUGCAAAAUAUAAAAAACUUCGUUGAAACAUUUUUGGUAUGGAAUUGUUGCUAGAAUAGAUAUGGCAUUACCUUUCUGAAUUUCCAGACUUAUACGUUGUUUAAGAAAUUCAGUUGAACGACUCUGUCUAGAUUUCUCAAAAAUUUUCC